ensembl:lncRNA
CCUGGAGGAACGUGUUACAAGAAGAUAACGACGUACAAAAAAGUUGAAAUACAAUUAUAAAAAAAGUAUUACGUUUAUGUAAUAUAAGUUAUUAAAAUGUCUUUUUUUUUUUUUUUUUUUUUUUUUUUUUUUUUUUUUUUUUUUUUUUUUUUUUUUUUUUUUUUUUUUUGGUUUUGGGGGGGGUUUUUUUUUUUUUUUUUUUUAACAUUAGGACACCAGGGAACUAGAUUAACUUGUUGAAAUAAGUAUAAUAUGACUCCUUAAGUCGUUUGCAACAGAGUCCGAGGCCAUAAGCGUGGUGAAGAGGGCACAGGAGUCGCUCUCCCACAACAGCCUCCGGUUGCACAAGAUCACGUCAAACAGUGCAGCUGUCAUGGCUGAAUUCCCCCCGAAGACCGUGCAAGCAGCAUCAAAGACCUGGACUUUGCCACUGAUAACGUCCCCAUGCAGCGCAGCCUGGGUAUCAGCUGGAACAUAGUCACAGACACAUUCACCUUUCAAGUACAGCGAGAUGACAAGCCUUUCACACGCAGAGGCGUGCUCUCAACCAUAAACAGCAUCUUCGACCCGCUCGGUUUUCUCUCACCCGUCACCAUACAGGGGAGAUCGUUGCUGAGAGAGCUGACCAUGGAAAACGGUGAAUGGGACUCGCCGUUACCUGGACACCUCCAAGCAGAGUGGGUGAGAUGGAAGUCCUCCCUACAAUGCCUUCAAGACAUACAGAUCCCCCGCUGCUACACAUCUCUCUCCACCUCUGCAGCAAGCGCGAGAGAGUUGUGUGUGUUUGCGGAUGCUUCAACCAAAGCAAUCGCAGCAGUUGCCUACCUGAAGGUGACCGAUGAAGAUGAACGCUCCGAAAUUGGAUUCGUGCUUGGCAAAGCAAAGCUGGCACGAGACAAUCCAGACUCGAACUCUGCGCAGCAGUCCUUGCUGUUGAGAUAGCUGAGACUGUUGUGAGUAGCAUGGUCUCACACAUGAACUCUGUCACUUUCUAUUCUGACAGCAAAGUCGUGUUAGGUUAUAUUAACAAUGAGCAGAGAAGAUUUUAUGUUUAUGUAAGCAAUAGGGUCCAACGCAUCAGACAAGCAACAUCACCCCAACAGUGGAAGUAUGUCCCCACAGAGCUCAACCCAGCCGAUCAUGGCUCCAGAUCAGUUGCAGCUGCAUCAUUGAGAGACACCAAUUGGCUGACCAGACCCGCCUUCCUUUCUGGUAAGCCUCCAGCUGAUCAUCCGUCACUGUUUGAUCUAGUUGACCCAGAGUUAGACUCUGAGAUCAGACCUCAGGUCGCAGUACUAGUCACUGAAACCACACAGCUCAGCUUAGGAACUGAGCGCUUCGAGCGUUUCUCAAAGUGGACUUCUGUGUUAAGAGCACUUGCGGUCUUGAUUCACAUAGCACAGUGUUUCAGGCAAACGGACAAAGACAACAUAUGCAGAGGGUGGCAUACCUGUAAGAAAGCAAUCACGCCAGAGAACCUGGAAAAAGCAAAGAAACUACUGAUCAAGAACAUGCAACAGGAAAGAUAUCCUAGUGAAUUUAGCAACAUUCAGAGUAAGUCAGACAUUCCAAAACGGAACAACAUUGCAAAGCUGCGCCCAGUGGUUGACAGCUGCGGACUUCUCAGAGUGGGAGGACGCAUCACACAGUCUGGCCUUGAGAUAAACCGCACCAAUCCUCUCAUCGUCCCAGCUCAGCAUCACCUAACGACUCUCCUUGUGCGCCACCAUCAUGAGCAGGUAAAACACCAGGGCAGACACUUCACAGAGGGGGCCAUCAGGGACGCUGGACUGUGGCUGGUGGGCGGAAAGAGGUGUAUCAGAGGCACCCUGUCCCGGUGUGUCACCUGCAGGAGACUGCGUGGCAAACAAGAGCAUCAGCUGAUGGCAGAUCUGCCUGCAGACCGGCUACAAGCUGCCCCACCGUUCACGUACGUCGGCCUGGAUGUGUUUGGUCCAUGGGAGGUCAUCAGCCGCCGGACGAGAGGUGGACAAGCAAACAGCAAAAGGUGGGCAGUAAUGUUCACCUGUCUGUGUGUGCGUGCUGUACACAUUGAAGUGAUAGAGACACUGAGUGUAUCUAGUUUCAUAAAUGCUCUACGGAGAUUUUUCUCCAUCAGAGGCCCUGCUGCACAGAUUAGGUCUGACAGAGGCACUAACUUUACUGGUGCGUCAAAAGAACUGAAUCUGGAAGACGACGCAGACAUGCAACGUUACCUACAAGACCAGCAAUGCACAUGGAUUUUCAACCCCCCGCACGCCUCCCAUAUGGGAGGGGCCUGGGAGCGACUCAUCGGAGUGGCCCGUCGCAUCCUAGACUCCAUGUUCUUGCAGCAACGCUUCUCUUCAUUGACCCACGAGGUCCUCGUCACACUCAUGGCAGAGGUUUGUGCAGUCAUGAAUGCGAGACCCCUGCUGCCUGUGUCAACUGACCCCGAGAACCCCCUCAUACUCACCCCCUCCAUGCUUCUGACGCAAAAGACAGGAGCCCCAUCAUCGCCUCCACCUGACUUUGGCAAGGCAGAGAUCAUUCGUCACCAGUGGAAGCUGGUACAAUAUCUCGCAGAGACAUUUUGGCACAAAUGGCAACGUGAAUACCUGAGCACCCUGCAAAGUCGGGCCAAGUGGCAGGAAAAAAGGCCUAACUUGCAGGAAGGAGACAUCAUCUUGAUGAAAGACAAUGCAGUGCCAAGGAACCACUGGCCGAUGGCAGUGGUCAUCAAAACUUAUCCCAGCAGAGACAAUGUUGUCAGGACUGUAGAUAUCAGAGUGGUCCGCCAAGGCACUCCUAAAAUACCAAGUUGCGCUCUGUGUUGUGUCAAUUCCUCUUACAAGUUUCUUCAAACCCCCGCACAGUCGUGUUUCCCACGGGGGCAAUGCCGUUUUACAGCUUGUUUUUGCACUGCCGUGUGUAAAAUAAAGGAGAGGAGAAAAAGACCUCGGGAUAAAGCAGCAUCUCUCUUCUUUGUUCACCUCACCUGGCUGUUUAUACGCGCUGGAUAA